UACGGGGGGGGCAAGCGUUGUUCGGAAUUACUGGGCGUAAAGCGCACGUAGGCGGCUUUGUAAGUUAGAGGUGAAAGCCCGGAGCUCAACUCCGGAAUUGCCUUUAAGACUGCAUCGCUAGAAUUGUGGAGAGGUGAGUGGAAUUCCGAGUGUAGAGGUGAAAUUCGUAGAUAUUCGGAAGAACACCAGUGGCGAAGGCGACUCACUGGACACAUAUUGACGCUGAGGUGCGAAAGCGUGGGGAGCAAACAGG
rnacentral:rRNA from 1 species